rnacentral:rRNA from 1 species
UACAGAGGGGGCAAGCGUUGUUCGGAAUUACUGGGCGUAAAGGGCGCGUAGGCGGCCCGCUAAGUCGAACGUGAAAUCCCCGGGCUCAACCCGGGAACUGCGUCCGAUACUGGCAGGCUUGAAUCCGGGAGAGGGAUGCGGAAUUCCAGGUGUAGCGGUGAAAUGCGCAGAUAUCGGGAGGAACACCGGUGGCGAAGGCGGUUCUCUGGGCCUUACCUGACGCUGAGGAGCGAAAGCGUGGGGAGCGAACAGG